GUGCCUAAUACAUGCAAGUCGAGCGAACAGACGAGGAGCUCGCUCCUCUGACGUUAGCGGCGGACGGGUGAGUAACACGUGGAUAACCUACCUAUAAGACUGGGAUAACUUCGGGAAACCGGAGCUAAUACCGGAUAAUAUAUUGAACCGCAUGGUUCAAUAGUGAAAGACGGUUUUGCUGUCACUUAUAGAUGGAUCCGCGCCGCAUUAGCUAGUUGGUAAGGUAACGGCUUACCAAGGCAACGAUGCGUAGCCGACCUGAGAGGGUGAUCGGCCACACUGGAACUGAGACACGGUCCAGACUCCUACGGGAGGCAGCAGUAGGGAAUCUUCCGCAAUGGGCGAAAGCCUGACGGAGCAACGCCGCGUGAGUGAUGAAGGUCUUCGGAUCGUAAAACUCUGUUAUUAGGGAAAAACAAAUGUGUAAGUAACUAUGCACGUCUUGACGGUACCUAAUCAGAAAGCCACGGCUAACUACGUGCCAGCAGCCGCGGUAAUACGUAGGUGGCAAGCGUUAUCCGGAAUUAUUGGGCGUAAAGCGCGCGUAGGCGGUUUUUUAAGUCUGAUGUGAAAGCCCACGGCUCAACCGUGGAGGGUCAUUGGAAACUGGAAAACUUGAGUGCAGAAGAGGAAAGUGGAAUUCCAUGUGUAGCGGUGAAAUGCGCAGAGAUAUGGAGGAACACCAGUGGCGAAGGCGACUUUCUGGUCUGU
rnacentral:rRNA from 1 species